CCUACGGGAGGCUGCAGUGAGGAAUAUUGGUCAAUGGGCGCGAGCCUGAACCAGCCAAGUAGCGUGAAGGAUGACUGCCCUACGGUUUGUAACCUUCUUUUAUGAAGGUAUAAAGUAAGGCACUUGUGCCUUUUUGUAUGUACUUUAUGAAUAAGGAUCGGCUAACUCCGUGCCAGCAGCCGCGGUAAUACGGAGGAUCCGAGCGUUAUCCGGAUUUAGUGGGUUUAAAGGGAGCGUAGAUGGGUUGUUACGUCAGUUGUGAAAGUUUGCGGCUCAACCGUAAAAUUGCAAUUGAAACUGGCAGUCUUGAGUACAGUUGAGGUAGGCGGAAUUCGUGGUGUAGCGGUGAAAUGCGUAGAUAUCACGAAGAACUCCGAUUGCGAAGGCAGCUUACUAAACUGCCACUGACAUUGAUGCUCGAAAGUGUGGGUAUCAAACAGGAUUAGAUACCCUGGUAGUC
rnacentral:rRNA from 1 species